rnacentral:rRNA from 1 species
AUUGAACGCUGGCGGCAUGCCUUACACAUGCAAGUCGAACGGUAACAGGUCUUCGGAUGCUGACGAGUGGCGAACGGGUGAGUAAUACAUCGGAACGUGCCUAGUAGUGGGGGAUAACUACCCGAAAGAGUGGCUAAUACCGCAUGAGAUCUACGGAUGAAAGCAGGGGAUCGCAAGACCUUGUGCUACUAGAGCGGCCGGUGGCAGAUUAGGUAGUUGGUGGGAUAAAAGCUUACCAAGCCGACGAUCUGUAGCUGGUCUGAGAGGACGAUCAGCCACACUGGGACUGAGACACGGCCCAGACUCCUACGGGAGGCAGCAGUGGGGAAUUUUGGACAAUGGGCGCAAGCCUGAUCCAGCAAUGCCGCGUGCAGGAUGAAGGCCUUCGGGUUGUAAACUGCUUUUGUACGGAACGAAAAGCCCUGGGUUAAUACCCUGGGGUCAUGACGGUACCGUAAGAAUAAGCACCGGCUAACUACGUGCCAGCAGCCGCCGUAACAC